UGACAUUCGGUGAUAGUGUCACCAGUGGAACCAUGAGGCAAUUUUCAAAAAGUAAAGUCUAAGCCAUGCAUCCUGUCACCCCACCCUGUGGUCAUCUCAGUCACCCUGUGUGUGUGUGUGCCUCCAUCUGUGGACUCUGUGCUGGUGUAAUCUGACCAAAGUGAGUAUCAGAGGCAGAAGUAGGCAGAAGGAGAGACCCGUGGGCAAUACCUGGAAGGGUGAGAGGCAGAAUAGAGGUGGGAGGUGCCUCAUAGAUGGACCAGUCCCAGCUUGCUCAUUGCAGGGUAGAGCCAUGGUGAAGGGGAACAAGUCAGAGAAGUGCUGACACUUGGUGGUGAGGACCAGCUGGCAGACAUGCCCAGAUGGGAUUACAAAUCCAGGGAAGCUGAUGUGAAGAUGAACCAGAACUUGGAGGUUGGACCCAAGACCUCAUAUGUGCUAGAGAGAAAAAGGAAAAAAGAAGUGGGCAAUUUCAUUCUGGAAGCUGCAGUAUGACACG
rnacentral:lncRNA from 1 species